rnacentral:rRNA from 1 species
UGAAUACGAAAUGCUACGGCAUUGAAGUGAUCUAUGCCAUGCUUCCAAGAAAAUCUCGUCAUAUCUUAAACAAUAGAUGCCUGUACCUUAAACCGACACAGGUAGGUAGGUAGAGUAUACCAAGGGGCGCGAGAUAACUCUCUCUAAGGAACUCGGCAAAAUAACCUCGUAACUUCGGAAGAAGAGGUACCCUUGAAAAAGGGUUGCAAUAACCAGACCCUGGCGACUGUUUACCAAAAACACAGGUCUCCGCCAAUUCGUAAGAUCAAGUAUGGAGGCUGACGCCUGCCCAGUGCCGGAAGGUUAAAGAAGUUGGUCAAUCUUUGGAUGAAGCUGGCGACUGAAGCCCCGGUGAACGGCGGCCGUAACUAUAACGGUCUUAAGGUAGCGAAGUUCCUUGUCGGGUAAGUUCCGACCCGCACGAAAGGCGUAACGAUCAGGGUGCUGUCUCGGAGAGAGACUCGGCGAAAUAGACAUGUCUGUGAAGAUGCGGACUACCUGCACCUGGACAGAAAGACCCUAUGAAGCUUUACUGUAUCUUGGAAUUGGGUUUGGGCCUUGCUUGCGCAGGAUAGGUGGGAGGCUAUGAAAAUAUUCCUGCGGGAAUGUUGGAGCCAACGGUGAGAUACCACUCUAGUAAGGCUAAAAUUCUAACUCUGAACCGUUAUCCGGUCAGAGAACAGUUUCAGGUGGGCAGUUCACUGGGGCGGUCGCCUCCUAAAAGGUAACCGAGGCGCGCAAAGGUUCCCUCAGGCUGGUUGGACAUCAGUCGUAGAGUGUAAAGGCAUAAGGGAGCUUGACUGCGAGACCCACAAGUCGAGCAGAGACGAAAGUCGGCCUUAGUGAUCCGACGGUUCCACGUGGAAGGGCCGUCGCUCAACGGAUAAAAGUUACUCUAGGAUAACAGGCUGAUCUCCCCCAAGAGUUCACAUCGACGGGGAGGUUUGGCACCUCGAUGUCGGCUCAUCGCAUCCUGGGGCGGUAGUACGUCCCAAGGGUUGGGCUGUUCGCCCAUGAAAGCGGUACGCGAGCUGGGUUCAGAACGUCGUGAGACAGUUCGGUCCAUAUCCGGUGCAGGCGUUAGAGCAUUGAAAGGAGUCCCCCUUAGUACGAGAGGACCGGGGGGAAUACACCGCUGGUGUACCAGUUAUCGUGCCAACGGUAAACGCUGGGUAGCCAUGUGUAGCGUGGAUAACUGCUGAAAGCAUCUAAGUAGGAAGCCCACCUUAAGAUGAGUGCUCUCACCGCUAUAAGCGGGUAAGGUCACGGUAAGAACAACCGUUAUAUAGGCAUUAAGUAUACGUGCAGUAAUGCAUUUAGCUAAGAUGUACUAACAGACCGAGGGCUUGAUAAU